rnacentral:misc_RNA from 1 species
CUUCGGCAACAACCUCGAUCACCGCGCCGAUGGAUGAACCGCGCUUGCGGAUGUCGUCGAGAUACUCGGCGAAGAAUUCGGCCUUCGCCUUGUCGGGACAGAAGAACGGAUUGCGGCCGACCUCAUCCCAGUCCCACGCCGCGCGAUCGAUCUUGUGCGGACCCAUCUGCACCAGCGCGCCGCGCACACGCACAUCGGGAAUGAUCUUCCGCGCGACG